UACGUAGGCAGCAAGCGUUGUUCGGAGUUACUGGGCGUAAAGGGUGCGUAGGCGGCUUCUUAAGUCUGGUGUGAAAUCUCCCGGCUCAACUGGGAGGGGGCUAGGCAGACGGCGGAGCUUGAGGCUCGGAGGGGGGCGUGGAAUUCCGGGUGGAGCGGUGAAAUGCGUAGAGAUCCGGAGGAACACCAACGGCGAAGGCAGCGCCCUGGACGAGACCUGACGCUCAGGCACGAAAGCUGGGGGAGCAAACAGG
rnacentral:rRNA from 1 species